GGGGUAUUCUUGUUCAAUAGAUGUUUUGAUUUUGUGCUUCGAUUCUUUUUCUCAACCGAUUCUUUUGUUUGUUUGUUGUCAAAUCUUGUGAGGAUGGUGAUCUGUGUACAAUAAGCCGAUGCUCUGGAUGUAGAAAUAAUGAAGGAAGCAUGGUAAUGUGCACAGAGAUUGAAUUCUAAGGUCAUCAUGUCUGCUCUCUCUGAUGCCUUUCGGGGCUUUGAUUUGGGGGCCUGGAUCAGACCUACAUUUUUUUUUUUCUUUUCCUCAUCUUCGAAACACAUAAUUUUUUAGAUUCAAAUGAUACUGUUAUUUUUAUUUCGGAUGAGAUUUAUUUUUUUGUUUUUUUUGUUUUUGAAAAUGGGAAGACAAUGUAAUAUUUUGUUUUUGUUUUCAGAUUACUAAGUCUAAUCUGAAUUUGAAAAAAUCAACCCUAACACCAACCCAAUCCCACCUCUAACUAAAAAUCAACCCUACUCUAACCUAAUCCCAUCCCACCUCAAGAGUACCCGAUCUCAAUCCAACCUAACCUAACUUUACACUUAGGUUGAGUUGAUCGGAGGAGUGUACGAAUCAAAAUCUAUGCAUUUUUCUAUACGAUAUAAUUGUAAUUUGAUAUUAUAGUUAAAAUAAAAUAAAUAUUAUUAUCCAUGAUAAUACAAAUUAUAAAUAUGAUAAAGAUGUUAAAUCUGAUAGGUAGGGUCAGGUUAUUCACCUUUGUUUUUUAACUUAGAAUAUUAAUAUUUAAUAGUGUUAGAUAUUAGGUUGUUUUUUUUUUUUACUAUUUUAUUUUUAUUAAUUAUUAAAAAUAAAAAAAAUUAAUAUGUUAUUUUUUUAUUUUAAAAAAAAUCACAUAUUCUGAAAUUUUCUAUUUAAUAAAUAAUUUAUAAUAAGUAAUGAAAAACUGAAAAAAAAAUAAUUUAAAUUUUAAAAAUAAAUUAUUUUGAGCAAAAGUCAAAAAAACAAAUGUCACUUAAAUCUCAAAUUAAGUUUAAAUUAAAAAAAAACUUCAUUUUAAGUCAAAUUAAAUAUUAAAAAUGGUCAAUAAUUGAAUUAGACAAACCCAUCAAAUUACAACCUUAAAUAGAAUAUGGGAGUAUUUGGGUAUUGGUAUGACCCAGAUGUGUUUGAAUUUAUUUUAAUAUACAAGGCAUUUGGAAUAUGAUGCAUCAAUAUUAAUUUAACCUCUUUUUCUCAAUGAAAUAUUGGGGCUUUUUUGUGAGCAUGAAAUGCAGUGAAUGUGUACAAAAUUAUGUGUCAAGGUCAAUUUUAUUAUUUUUGUUGAAUAUAUGUUCCAAAACAUAAAAAUCAUGAUAAUUGAAAGGGAGGAAAUUCUUUUGAAAAUGUAGGGAGAAAGUAGUAUAUGUUUCCUCAAUUCUCUCUUUCAUUGAUUCCUUCUCCAUUUCUACCCCAUUUUCACAUAAGCUAUUAGUAUGCAUUUUCAAGGAGAGUUGUGGAAUGUCUUCUUGAACAUUUUUGCCAAUUUGUUACAAAAAGGGAGAAAAAUCAUAUUAAUUAUUGAAGGAAGGAGGUGGUUGCUAGUUUAUUUUGAUUUAUUUUGGUGCUUCUAUUUUGAUGAAUGCAUAGUCUUGAUGAAGAUUCAUGGCUUCAUCAAAAGUGAAAAUAUCUCGGGAAGGCCUUUAGGUGGGACGAUAUCUCAUUAAUCAAGUCAUAUCAUACAUUCCUUCAUAUAAUAUACUUUUGUGUAUGCAAUAUAUUACUAUUAUGGUCAUCUUAAUUGUCUCACAUGUUAUAUGGGUUGUUCAACAAUAACCAAAUUUGAUACAUGUUAUGUCUACAUGAUUUGAUCAUGUGCCCACGUGACUUGUUAUCUAAUUAAUAGUAAAGAAAAGCCUUUGGAAGGCCCUUAGGUGUAACCAUAGCUCAUUAAUCAAGCCACACCAUAUAUUUCUUCUUCUAAUGUGCUUUUAUGCAUGCAAUAUCUUACUAAUCCAACCAUCUUGGCUAUCAAAGUCUACCACAUUAUUUUCGCUCUCUAAUAGUGAUAAACUUGAUGCAUGCCUCCUCUACAUAAUUCCAUCUUGUGCUCACUUGACUUUAUCCAAUUGAAAGUCAAACAAGCCUUUGGAUGGUCCUUAGGUGUGAUAAUAUCUUUUUAAAAGUCAUACCAUAUAAUUUUCCUUCUAAUAUGCUUACUUUUGUUUAUGCAAUAUAUGGUUAAUCAUGUCAUGUUGGUUAUCUACUCCGUCAUCUUUGUUGUCUUAGUCUAGCACUAACCUAACCUUGAUACAUACGACAUUGCGUGCUCAUAUAACUUGUUGCAUAAUCAAAAGUCAAACAAAUCUUAGAAAAGUUAUUAAAUGUGAUAUAUAUCCAAUUUCUAAUGCACUUGCGUAUGUAACAAUAUUUUGUCAAUUAAGAGCAUGUUUGGGAAUGAUUUUGAUUAAAACACUUUUAUCUUGAAGCAUUUUUGUUGGUAGUGCUUCAAUUGAAAACUUUUUUUUUAAAGAAAAUCACUUGUGUUGGAUAUAAGCAAAAAUAAAAAUAAAAUGUUUUAAUAGCAUUUUUUUAUAUAAAAUAUAGUAUAAUAAAAGGUGAUUUUUUAAAGAAUCAUUGGAGUGAUGGUGUAAAAAUCACUUUAAAUGAUUUUCUAGAUUUUUAAAAGUGAUUUAAAAAAAAUUGACUAUCACCUAAUUUCUACAAGAAAACACUUUUAUUCCUUUUCAAAAUUAUUCCCAAAAGAGUUAUAAGUCAUUUUGGUUUGAUACAUCAUAUUAGUUUUUAUGGCAUGAUAUACCCGUACAACUUGUCAUCAAACAAUAAUUAAACAAGCCUUGGGAAGGUCCUUAGUGUGAAAAUCAAACUUGAUGUAUGUGAUGCCCAUGUAACUUGUUACCCGAUCAAGAACCAAAUAAGCCCUAAAUGUUAAAUACACGAAGGUGAUAAAAUUCAUCCAUUAAUAAUUGAAUUUUUAUUCAUCAGCUUGGUGGAUAUAGAGAGGAAUCAAUGGAAGAGGAUGAUUUGCCCUUCUCUCAAUUAGGAGGAGCUAUUUGUAGGUUCCUUGAUCAUGAAACUUUCAAGAAAUUACUUUUUUUCUUUCUUUCUUUUGUAGUCUUUGGUGCAAAGUAAAAAUUGAAUUGCAUAGAGCAAAAAUUUAAUGAUAUAUGACUAAUUAUUUUCUUACUUGUAAGAGCCUUUUUUUAUUCUAUGCAAAUCUUCUCAGGUAUAGGAAACCUCGAGGUAUUUACAGGUGGUCGAAUUUAGAGGCACUUAAUUUUUAUUGAGGUGAAUCAAACUUUUGGCCUGUUCACGGGGAUACUUUAUUUUGAAAAUUACUAGGAAAAGCUUAAAAGCUUUAUAGUUUAUCCAGGCUUCUAAAUACUAGUAUGAAAGCCUACCGGAUUUCAUUUUGGCACGGACCAAAGAUUCUAACUCCAAUCGGUUGCCGCCUGUGUGCACUUGGCUGUGCUGCAGUGCGCACCACGUCGCUCCCCUCCCUGCCUAAGACUAUGCGAUGCCGCGUAGAUGACCGGCGCCACAGUCAUCUUGCGUGCUGACCGAGUGACCGUUGGUGCAUUUGCUGCCCAUCUAGCCCACGCUACACCAACCCCUGUUCUGUGGGCUAUCAAUGCUUUCAAAUGAGUGUGCCAACAUCGGAAACGAAUGCCAUCGUACCAUGGUCACACGUCUAAGGUUGCAAACCUUGAAAGAGCUAUUCCCUCCAAGUGUUUGAUAAAAUGCCUCAUCGACUCCAAUGAUAAAAGCAUACCUACCGGCUACCGCCAUGCCCUAACCUUUUGCGGGACAUGGUAUGAAUCUUGCCACGUAGCUGCGGCAAAAGAUACUAGUAACCCACAAGGUCAGGGUACCAAUUGAAGAAACAUUUUGGACAUGGAAAGAUGUGGCAACAUGAAAAAGUGGGAAAGUAAGAAGGAAUAACAUGAAAUUAUUGCAAAUUCAUAGAUUUACUUACAGUCACAAACCACAUGAAGCAUAAUAGUUUCCCAUCUUCAUCUUUAAAAACCUCAAAAGUGACAGGACAAAAAAAAAAAAAAAAGGGUGGGCGGGGGGUGAAAGGAAGAUAUUGAGUGGAGAGUGGGAAAUUCAAGCUUCUAUUGGCCUUGCCACAAUGGUGGAAUGCUUCAAGAUGUGCAAACUGAACUGCCCACCCUUUCCUGUGGUGUCAAGUUUGGCCUGUCCAGGAGGAGGGAGGAGCUCAAAAUUCUGAACCAGACGUCCAAUUGUGAUACCAAGAAUUGGCAGAGCAAGAAUGAUUCCAGGGCAGCUUCUUCUUCCAACACCGAACGGGAGGUACCUGAAGUCAUUGCCAUUGGCCUCAACCUUGGACUCCUCCUCCAGGAAUCUCUCUGGCCUGAACUCUUCUGGUUUUUUCCACUUGGAAGAGUCGUUAGCAAGCCACCAUGCGUUCACCAGGAUUUUGCUCUCAGCAGGAAUGUCAUAGCCACCGAGCUUUGCAUCAUUCAGAUUCAUGUGGGGGACCAGGAGAGGAAUUGCCAUCCUUAGCCGGAGAGUUUCUUUGAUUACAGCCUGAAGAUAUGGAAGCUUUUGGAUAUCAGGCUCGGUGACUUGGACGCCAGGUCCAAGCACAGUGUUCAGCUCAUCCCUGAGCUUCUUCUGGAUGUGAGGGUGGUUCACCAGCUCUGCAAUGCCCCACUCGAUUGACCACAACGUUGUUUCAAUAGCUGCAUACACAAAUUUUUCACAUUAACAUGGUUCCAGUCCCAACCCAUUUCUUAAAAUGUUAGGAAAGAAUCAUUUAAAAGGUAAACUCGGGUUGUUAGCCUGACAUGCAGUAUUGAUCCACAACCCAAUAAUCUAAAUCUUUACAGUUUAUUUGACUAUUUGACUUUAUGUCAUGGUCUGAGGUCGCCUAUGGAGGAAGUGUACAUUAUUCCCAGCAGCUUAACAAAAGAUGGGUCAACCCUUUUGUUUUAGAUCUCUAAUUGGGAACUUAAACAUAUGGUCUAGUUGAUGUUUCAUACCAUAUAAAAAAGAUAAUUGGAAAGGAGAUUUUUCUAUGGUAGAAAUGGCUUAAAAAGGGGUAGUUAAGUAGUUCAACGUCGGUAAAGAUAUGGUCAUGGUGCCAUGGGACAAAAUGGGAAGUCCAGAAAAACAAUAGGCCUCAUCUCAGUUUUUAUCGUUCUAUUCAUACUUUGAAAAGACACCAUCUGACAGCCAACCAAAGAACCAACCAUAAAGAGAUGUGGCAGUUCAUGAUCUCUCAAUCAUGCCAACCGAUGCUUAAAAGUUGACUAGUACCCAUUACAAAAGAACUCAUUUUAGAAACUCUUGAAGGGUUAAGAUAGAAAAAGUCAAGGUUUAGAAGUUUUCCAAGCCACAAGGGAGACAAAAUCAAGGUUCUCUCUCCUGUUUACUUUUAGUUAUCCUAAUGUGAGAAAGGGUACAACUUGGGCAACCAUACAAACAAGCAAUCAUAACACCAAAGCACAAACAGAGGCGCUCCGAUUGGGCUGUGGUAGGUGAGCUUGAAAGCUAAAGUAAACCCAACUCAACCCAAGCUUUUAACACCUAACCCACUUUUCUAAAUCAACCACAUGAGUUGAAUUGGGACAAACUAACAAUGAUGUCACGUGCACCCUAUCUCUCACUUGACAUUCAUCCCUUGGUGGUCUCCCUCAAAGCUUAUCUCUCUCCAUUAAUUUUUUUUGGUUUUUCAGAGGCUAGUAUAAGCUAUAGCUUAUCUUGCGCCAAUUGGACAGCGACUCCCAAUCUAUCCAUGGAGCCCAGUCCUGACCUUGUCCAAUAUAUAAAAUUGAAAAAUCAACUCCAAUCCACGGUGCAAAGUUGAAGUAAUCCUAAAAAGGAAUCUAACUACUCCCAUGGGAUCUCAUAUAAUUACUUACUCCCAUUGAGGCACGUAGCGCCCUUAUAUUCCAUGGGAUUGUCGGGUAAUGACCCUCUUACACCUCUUACUCCCGUGAGUCAAAGAUGGGCUCCAGGGUUUGUUUUUCUAUUUUUUUAUUAUUUAUUGUAAAUCUUUUAUUAAAUAAAAAAAAUCAAAAUAUAUAAUUUUUUUUUAAUAAAAAAAAUUAUAUAUUAGUUUUUUUAUUUUUUAAUACUUAAUAAAAAUAAAAUACUAUAAAAACAACCUAAUAUUUAAAUAUUAAAUUGAGUAAAAAAACAAUGAUCAUUUUCCAUGAUUGAAAAAGAGACUAAACGAUUUCUGACGCGAAGAACACAGACAAAUUUAUAGGAGACAAGUUAAGGGGGAAAGGGGAUAUACCAGCAACAUUGAUGUUCUCCACAAUGUAAAGGACGUUGUCCUCGUUGAUCUCACCCUUCUGCUGAGCAUCCAAAAUAUGAUCAACGGCGCAUUUCAGACUGUUGUGAUCUGUGCUCUUUGUGCUUGCCAGCUUCCUGCAGACCAUCACAGUUUCCAUUUUAGAUUUUCUUUUCUUGAUUUGUACGAAUAGUGAAGGUUGACCAUGUAAUUCACUUUCUACGUUGUAAGUGGAAAAUUUAUGGAUUUGGCUAAUUUUAACCCUAAAUCAGGUUCAAAAGAGGGAAAAAAAUCGAAUUUAUGAAUGGAGAAUCCUGAAAAAAUGGAAUAGAAAACUUACUUCCUCUCCUCAAGAAAAUGGUCCUUGAAGAGCUGCAACCUUCUCUCCUUAACUUCCUUGCAGAUUUUCAGGUAGCCUCUCAAAAAUGGUCUCAAAAUGGGAAUGAAGUCUCCAUAAUUGUACUCGAAGCUCUGAGCCAGUCUACUCCUCUCUCCGUUCAAGGCUUUGAGCUUCACGAACAACGGAUCCUCCUCACUAUCGAAUCUUCUAUCGAACAUGAUUCUAUACAUGUUGUUGUACAUCAUGAGCUGCAACCGUCUCCUCAGCACGAUUCCGUUGGUGGAGGCCUCGGGAUUCUUCUUCACGUCCUCAACCACACGCGCCGCCUCGUCCUCCCAUCCGACGCGGUACUGCUGAACUACCUUGUUGGUGAAGAAAGGGACGGUCAUGAUCCGCCGCAUCUUCCGCCAAUGCUCACCGUACACCGUGAACACCAUGUCCUGGCCCUUACCUGUGAAUAUGUCGAACACCACGUUUCUUGUGCGUGAUCCGAACUCCACUCCCUGAGUGUGCAAAACGUCCUUCGCCAGGUCCGGCGACGACACCACCACCAGGUUCCGCUGCCCCAUUCGCAGCAUGAAAAUGUCCCCGAAUUUCUUCGCUAAGUCGGAGAGGUUCAGGUGGUUCAAGUCAUCCCCAACCUGCAGCCAGUUCCCGAAAACCGGCACCGGCAGAGGACCUGGAGGCAGCUUUAAUUUCUUCCCCAGAAGCUUAGAGAUGGUGAUGGCCAGAAUUAUAGCGCAGAACACCGCUAACAGAGCUUUCUCUAUGAGUAUGAGAUCCAUGGUUGUGGCGGUGGAUGGUGCCUGAGGGCUGGUGGGUGGCGGAUGGUGGAUAUGGUUGAUGGUGGGUGUAGUGAUGGGCUUAUAUAGGGAAAUGAGUGAAGCAAUAGCGCCGGCUCGGGCUGACGGGAAUCGUUAGGUGGGAGUAGGCGAGUGCGAGGGAGUGGGUGAGAGUCCUAUAUUGACGGCGUGAAAUGUGACGGCGCUUUUGAGGGGUAGGUCCGCCAGAUUCAGGGUGACGAGUUUGAAGGGAGUAGGUAAGGGGGUGGGUGGAGCGAAAGCGUCAAAUUGAUGGACCUUUCAAAGUGAAGGAGCUCCUAUCCUCUGCGUACCCCCACCACACUCCAACUAUCCUUCUAAUCCAAUGGCUCUCAUUUUAUUUUUUCACGUGACCAACCUACUCAUAUGUUCUAGCACUACACAUUAUAAUAAUUUUGUUUAAAUAGUUUUCGUGCACAAGGAGUUUUAAAAUCUCAUCCAAUUACUGCUUGCGCCAGUUAGUAAUAGUGGGUCCUAUAACAUUAUGUGGCAGUGACUGGUGAAUUGCGGGGAAUUUGGUUUUGAGGCUGAGGAGGAUUUGCCACGGUUUCCUUAUUCGUUGCAUCAUGGAUUUCCUACCAUUAAUACUUGUGACAUUCAAUAUUUUCCAUUCUUCAAAUUAUUUAGAAUAAUAAUUGGAUAAUUCCUUUUAAUCUAUUCCACCUGAAAUUAAGAUAAAUAUAAAAAUUUUGAGAUUCAACUCACUUGUUAAACUCAAGUCCUAAAUCUAAAUCAAUUCAAUUUUAAGAUCCCACUCUUCUACUAUAUUUGAUUUCUAAAAAAUCAAUGAAAAUAAAAAAUAAAUUUAAAAUUAAUAAAUUAUUUAAAAUUAUAUUUCCACUACAUAUAUCAAUAAAUUUGUAAUUCUCAAAUCCUUUUCAUAAAUAUUUCUAUUUUUAAUUUUUUGAUAAUCAAGGUAAAUUCUUGAACAAAAUUGCUAGAUAAUUAAUUAUUUAAUAUUCAAUCAAUUGAAAAUUUUAACUAGGUUCGGACAAUAAUCUAACUCUGACUCACUCUCUUUUUUUUGCCCCUUUUUUUGGCUUUUACAUUAAAUCUAAGUGGUUGCCUUCCCAUGGCACUAAACAUUGUUGUGUAAAUUAAGCCAAUUUGAUAGGAAUAAAGUCAGCCAAAUGCCAUCAGAAAUGCCUCUGAUGGGCCUAAAAUUGGCCAAUUACAAUUACAAUUACUCGAACAAACAAGGCUUACUCAUGCACGAAAUCAAUAGCAUCUUUGCCAGGCCCGAAACUUUGAAAAUUCAAAGCAAAUGUAAUAUUUUUAAGUUUAUGUCGGACAAUGACACUUUUGAUCUUUUUCCCUUUUCAACCUUUACACUCCAUAAAUUUGAUAUUCAAAAAGCUUUAAUUUUUAAACGAACGGCAUGGACUACAUCAACUCCUCUUUUUUUUAUUAUUAUUAUAAAACUUUAAAAAAGAUGGAGAUUUUGUUGGAGAAGUACAAAUAAGAGAAAACCUCCAAAAGUCAACUACAGGCGCCCUCUUUGGCUGCCUGGUUUGAGUCAUGGGUCAGUUUUGGGAACUACCUUAUAGGUACCGCGUGCCAUCUGCCGGCAAAUCUCAUCCUCCGCUCAUUUCUUACCUUAUAAUCCUGCAACCAUCUCCUUUAUUAAACUAUAUAUUCUAUCGCUUUCAUGGUUCCGUAAAUCAAAUAAAAAAAACGCGAAAAUAUUAUAGUUUUUUCCGCUGCCCUAUUCUUUCCCUACGUCAUGGCUUUUACUAUAUUAAAGUAUUGGAAAUGAGCAAAUGAGUAUUGUUAUCGUGGCACCUAUCAAUACUCUUUUGGUAACGUAUCCCCAUUAAAUCUAGUUUUGACAUCACGUUGAAAAAUCAAAAUUUUAAAAUCAGUGAUCUUUUGGUAACGUAUCCCAUUAAAUCUAGUUUUGAUGUCUUGUUGAAAAAUCAAUUUUUAAAAAAAGUUAAAUUUAUGAUAUAUUAUUUUGAAUUUAACUAGAAAAAGGCUCGUAAUAAAAUUUGAUCAUCCCCUAAUGCGGGCAUUUACUAAUCUCAAGGUUUAGAGCGAUAAAACCUAACCAUCACACAUAAUACUUAUUUGUUAAUAUGUCAAUUUUUAUAUUUACACUUACAUUCAAGAAUUUAUAUUUUAUUUUAUAUGCAAGUGACGACAUUGUUGAAAGAAAUAUGUGAUCAAACCAAUACAAUAUACCUUUCCUCAAAAUUGGAGGCUAGGUAGCCAAAUGAAUGUGGAUUAUAAAAAGGAAAGAGAGGGCAAAGCAGAUGGGAAGAGAAUGGAAGGAGACCACUUCUAAGGCCUACCUACUACCGUGGAUAGAGACGUAAUCAAAUAUCAUACCUAACCCCCAACAAAGAGACCACGAGCAGUGCCUCAAGCUACCUCCACCACCGCCCCCCAUUUUUAGUGAUCAAAUUUAGCCACGUCAUCUUUAUGUCAAUAAUCCUAUUUUCCUACGUCAUCUAUCGUUCCACAGUGGCAUGGUUUCCUCUUCCGUGGGCUAUCAAACUUGGACCGUCCACCUUGGCUGCAGCAUUAUUUGUUUUUCUCAUUUAUUGCACAAUUUAAAACCUUAUCUGGGUUUGGCGGGUUCUGCAAAUUGCAAUUACUAGCCUCCAGUGAGAGUCUUCCAAGUUAGAACCAAUGAGAAUUGGCCAAUGCCAUAUGAGUUUUCUUUUAUAUUUAUUAUAUAUUGUAUAAACAUUAUUAAAGUAAUUUAUGAUUAUUAAAUUAUGAUGAAAUUAAUUUUUAAACAUAUUUAUUAUAUUUUAGGUUAAAAAAUUUAGAUAUAAUAUGAAUUUCAAAUCCAAAGUGAUUUUAAUUAACGUACAUGUUAAUUUCCAUUCAAUUUUUUUAUUAUCUAAAUUAAAUCAAAUCAAUUUUAAAUAAACUUGAUUUGGUUUUAUGUUUCCAUUAUUAAAAGGUUGGUUCGAUUUUGAUUCAAAUAAAAAUCGACUAUGCCCCGAUUUGAUUAAUUUUUCUUUAAUAAAAAUUAAAAGAUAUCAUACUUUAAUCAAUCUUGCAAAAAUAAUUAUAAUGGUAAGGUGGAAUUUUGCAAGUCUCCAUCAAGAUUGUGAAAAAUGAUUUAUUUUUGGUACCUUUCGACCAAUAAUACUACUAACUCCCUUCCAUCUAUAAUAAUGAAUAUUUGUCUCCCUAGGCGAUCUCUAAUAAUCAAUGUGGCGUCUUCUCUAGGUGAGUCCCCAUCAGCACAUACGCUCCACAUAUUUUUUUUUUUUGUGGGACAAUAAAGAAAAACAUUUUCCCAUGACUAAUGACUCGAUAUAAAGAGCAACUCUUUUAUAUCCUUUUGAGCCGAUGGAAACUUUGAUUAUAUCCCAAAAAAAGUCCUCCUCCCUUUUUCUAUGAUCAGGAUCAUUAAUAACGUUAAUGGUAUCGCUAGAGGUAGUGGGAUUGUAACUUCUUUUUGUAAUGAUCGGAUCAUAUUAUGUUUUUGAGCGGUAUGGAAACUAUAAGUAGUAGGACUAUAACUUAGUUGAUUUUAUGUAAUCAACUCCAUAUUUAGAUUGAUAUGGGUAAAAAUUGAAUGGGUUAGGUAGGGGCUUAAAGCUUUUAAAAAUCAAUGAGCAUAUAUUGAGGAGAGCAUUUUAUAACCUUGGUUUUGUCGGAGAUUACGAAAUCGAGGUUUGGUUCAUUUCAAUUUUAAUAAGAACAAAACAAGGUUUAAAAUUAAUAUUUUCUUUUUAAGUAUGUUUUAGCUAAUAAGAUUUUUGAAGUGGCAAUUAUAAGGACAAAUCAAAUUUAAAAAAAAUAUAUAAAAGACGAGUUUUCAAGACUUUGUCUAUAAUAUUUUGUAAGGUUGAUAGUAUACUAGGAUUAUGCAUUAUAUCUUUAAGCACAAAAAAUCAUCAAAGUAUUAAUUUGUUUUAAAUUAUUUUAUAAUAGGAUGAUCUCAUAUUUCAAUUAAAACUACGUGUUAAAUGUUUUUUAAAUUUGCUUUAAAAGGUUUUACAAAAUAAAAUACAAGUUACUAAAUGAUUCAAACCUCAAAUUAGGGCAUUUUAUGCACUUUAUAGUACAAGGCAGAGAGGAAUUGGUUGAGCCAAUUGACUCAACAUGUUGAAGUACACUUGUACACUUUUUCUUCCAAUAAUAUGUACUCAAUUAAUUGAGGUUAAGCCUCAAUAGGACUAGUUAAGAUCUUAUUGAAGCCCCAAAACCCAACUAUCACAUAUCAUAAGUAUUAAUUGCUAACAACUAAUGAAUUUCAAUUAAAUUGAUGUGUGGACCCCGCAUUUCGAUUGCGCUAUGCGUUUCCCACUCGAUGGCGAGCUCGAAUUUUAAUUUGAAAAAUUGAUUUAUAUUGAUUAUGAAAAUGACUUGGAGUCGCCACUUAUUUUUGUUUUAUUUUUAAAGGGUAAACAAAAUAAGAAAGAAAAACCCUAAGUGUGACUCCUUAUUUUGGAAAAGGUGGUCUGUGAAAAACCAGAUCGGGUUCGGGGGUCAGGUUACUUAUCAGGAAGGUACGGUAAAAACCGUAGCACCCUUCUAAGUCCCUAAAAAUGGGUCUCUACUAAUAAAAUGAAGCAAUCAUGGCAAUUGAUGAGGAAAUCAAUGAAUACUCAGAGUGAUCAUGCACACGUGAGAAUUUAAACAUGCAUAUCGAAAAUGACUAGAGCGGAUGUAGAUGCGUACCUGGGCAGUGAUCCAUGAAGCGCUAUCAAGAAGUGACGUUAGUGCACAAUUAAGAAAUAAUAGCAUGCACGUCGUAGAGCAGAAUAAAUAAAUAGCGCGUGACAAACAAAUCAAUCAAUCAUAAAAUCACGUAUGUGGGGCCCCCACCAAAGCCCGAUUGAUCUUGCACGAAUUAAUCUCACAAAUUCCAUUGUUCUGAAAUUAUGAAAAUGACAUUCACGCUUAUAUAAAAUUAAGAGAAAAAGAAGAUUAUUUGAAAACCAAAGUGGAAUUAAAACUAUUUGAGAGAAAAUUAGAUUUUUGAAAUUUAAUUGAAAAAUUGGAAUCUCGAAGAUCACUAGAAAAUUGGAGUUUUAGAGUUUAUUUGGAAAUUAGAUUUUUAGUGAUUGAAUGUGAGAAUGAGAAUUUUUAGAAAAUGAAUUUGAAAGAGGUUAGAAUUUCAGAGAACUAAAUUUGGGAAUUGGAAUUUUGAAGAAUUAUUUAAAGAUGGAAUGUCGGAAAAUUAAAUUUCGAAAAGUGGAAACCCGAAAAAUUAUUUUAAGGAUGGAACGCCGGAAAAUUAAAUUUCGAAAAGUGAAAACCCGAAAAAUUAUUUUAAGGAUGAAAUAUCGGAAAAUUAAAUUUCGAAAAGUGGAAACCCGAAAAAUUAUUUUAAGGAUGGAACGCCGGAAAAUUAAAUUUCGAAAAGUGAAAACCCGAAAAAUUAUUUUAAGGAUGGAAUAUCGGAAAAUUAAAUUUCGAAAACCCGGAAUAUUUAGAGAAUUACUUUGAUAUCCAAAACGUGAAGAAAUAAUAAAAGAAAUGUGAAUUGUGGUCAUCUUUAAGUGCACGUCUCCAGUGUAAUGCCCAUAAACCCAUUUUACAUAUUUUAUUUUAUUUUUUACCACCUGAGCAAACAACUUUUGCAUGAAGAUUGAUGAGUGGGUAUUGAAGAAUGAUGACAUGGGCAAGGUAAUGGAAUCAGCCACUAGCAGGAAAUAAAUAAAAAAUGAAAAUCCUACAGACCCAUUUAAUUCGACAUCAAACCAGAAAGCAAAACCAUGCAUUAAACCCUACUCACCACCUGCAUCCUCCUCCUUGGAUCCUUUUAAUCGCCUUUUCAUCCACAAGGAUAGAACCAAACCAGUCUCAUUCUCAUUGAGGUCCAAAACAGAGCAUCCAUGAACACAGUCCGGUUAACAAACUCCUGCUUCAUUUGAACCAAUGCAUGGCUCCAGCUAUUUUAUCAAUUACAAGAAGCCAAACUCCAUUUCUGGGACCUUCACUCGUAGAAGGAAACCUCAAGUGUGGGAGCCAAAAACAGAGAUUCGGAUGGAAACACCCACACACAUAAUAGGGAAAAGGAAGCAGAGAAUACAAUGGAAUGAAGCUUUAAAAAAGGAUAAACAAAGACCAAACACCCAACAAAUAUGAAGAAACCUAUUUCAUUUUUCUUUAUCCGUGGGUUUGAAGGUCGAUGGAUUAAACUAAGAAGACAUCUUAAGAGACAAAAUAAAUCCAAGAUACAAGAAAGUUUUCAAAUAUCUAACAACCAAACCAAGCACAGUCAGGUUAUCCUUGAAUGAAACCAGAGAAAUAGAGAAUGGAACCACAAUAACCAAAUCAAAACAACCUCACAAACAAUGCAAGAUGAUCACAUGAACCAGAAAAUAGAGAAGCCUGAUGAUUAUUAAUAGCCUAUGAACCCAAAGAAUCUUACCUAGUCGUGCUCCCCUCAAGUAGAAAUUUGAUUGGCUUCAAACCAACCUUCUCUGCUCAGUUCUGGCUCCCUAAAAAAUCCCUCCAAACGGCAGCCAAUAGCACCACUCCCUCCCACAGUUUGCUGCUCUUAGCUCUACAAAUACUCUCUCUCUCUAAUGAAAACCCCCCUCCCAAUCUCUCCUACUCUCUGCUUUUUUCUUUUUUUUUUUCUAGCCGUCGCCUACCUUCUCGGGCAAGCCAUUACCUGCUUCCCUGUUCAUCUCUCAGCCGGUAUGGGCUCCUCCAACUCCAGCAUGGCCUCUGCCACGUCUCUUUCUCCCCUCCCAUCUGGUGGUCCCCCCUUUGUUUAAAAGAGAAAUACCCAGAAGAGAGAAAAAAACUCUCCCCCCGGGCCCCUCAUAAAAGGGGGUCUACAUGAUGUUUGACCAAACGAACCCAAAUUGUGCAUAAUGACUAAUUUGACUUUCCAACUCCUAUAAAAAUAAAAUAAAAAAAAAAAAAAAUCCUCCAAAUUUCAUUCUUUUGUAAACUUAAUAUCGUAAUUUAAAAAAAAAAUAUAUUUGAACCUUGGGGAGUGUUUUAUAGUGUACAUUGUUUCAAAACUUGUAUAUCAUUAGUACACUAUUAAAUCUUAAUUUAUCUUGUAUUAUUUGAGCAUAAAUUUUAUAUUAGGGUUUUAUGAGAAUAUUUUCUAUCAUUUCCUAUAAAGAUUUUGAGAGGGAAAUUUAAGUGUCGAGGUAUCACUUAGGGAUUUUGGGUAUCACUUAAAGGAUUGUUUAAAACUAUGUAUAUUUUGAGGAUUGUAAAAGUUGUUUGGAACCAUUAGUUCAAGAGGGUUCAUUUGAACCAUAAUCAAAUUGUAAAAUUUAGAGGUUUAGGUUAUAAGCUUUGAAAUAGUGGAUCCUUAUUCGGUUAAGAGUUUGAGAAGAGUAGAUGUAAGUUAAGUUGUACUAAACCAACAUAAAAACGAGUAUUUACAUUUUCUUUUAUCCAUUCUCUUUAUUUUAUAUACGAUUACUUUUCAUUGUAUUUAUUUCAUAUUUGUAUAUAAUUAUCUUUUAUAUUCACAUAAUUUGAAUUUUAUCUAUAUAGUAAAGGAAAACAAAAAUAUAGAGAAUAGUAAUAAAGUAGAAAAAAAUCUUAAUAAUUAUGAAUAUUAUUAAUUUAAAAAAAUCUAAAUGUUUAAUAUUAUUACUAGACUUUUAUAUUGCUUAAUAAUCAUAACGCUAAUUCGACAUUAAAAGAUGAUAAUCAAAAUAAUUGUAAGUAUUUUUUAUUUUUUUUUAAAAAAAGAAAGAAAAAAGAUAAAAAUAGAGACAUGCAAACAAUAGGUUUGGCAAUUAAUUAUGUCCAUUUUUUCAUACUUCAAUAUACUAAUUCCAAAGUUUUCUUUAACUAAAGUCUUCAAUGCUUUACACUUGAUUCAAAUAUGUAAUAUCUUUACAAUUCCUUCAAGUGAUUUGUCAUGUUUGAAAAAAAGUUUUCAUAUUUUAUAAGUUCAAAACACUUAAAUGGUGAGGUUUUUUGUUUACAAAUUGAGACUUAGUACGAUGAAAAAAUACGAUUAGCAAAAGAAAGGAUGGUGCAAGAAAAGAGACCUUUGCAAGCUCUUUAAUUAGUUUGUAUGAUGAUUGUUGAAUGUUGGUGAAACCAUAAUUGUUCAAUUUAUUUAUUUUUUGUUUGUCAAGAAAAGAGACCUUUGCAAGCUCUUUAAUUAGUUUGUAUAAUGAUUGUUGAAUGUUGGUGAAACCAUAAUUGUUCAAUUUAUUUUUUUUUUGUUCGUUAGUUUUUGUUUUGAUUUUAGAUUUUUUCCCAUACUUGAAACUAGUCACGGGCCAUAGUUUCGAGUCAACUCAUUGACUAGAUGAUAAAUCAAAGAACUAGUGAUUUGGUUAAAAAUAUAUAUGGAGAUGACCAAUGGAUUGUGAAAAUCUUGAAUGAUAUUUGAUUAGUUGAGGUAAAACCUUAACCACUUCAAUACAACACCGAGGGUUACUGUUUGAAAAGUUUGCACAACACAACUCAACUCAACUAAUUGAGAUGAAACUCGAUUAGUUGAGCUUUGCCCUUACAAAAAUACUAAAUCGAUUGAUCGUUACUUUUUACACUUUUUUAAUUUUGAAAAUUUUCAACUUUUAAGCUCAAAAACACUUAGGGAACAAUCAAUAUAUAUUCCUAUAAAUUUAAAGAAAUCCAUUUAAAGAUAAAACAAUGAACCAAUAUUGGUAUUUUGUCAUCAAGUUUUUUUAAGUGUUUGAGUCAAUUUAAAAACCAAUUAGAUAAUGUUUUCCCGCAAUUAUACCCCACUCAUCAUCCAAUUAUCCAAAAUCUCCUAAAUCAAAUCAUCUUCAACCUUGGUGGAUUCUCCAUGGAGCACAAUCAUAAUUUCUUUCUUCCAUUGUUAGAAGAUUACCAUAUAUUUAAAUACCAUAUAAAGUUUUUAAAGUAUUUUCUAUCUUUUCAAUUAUUGUUAGAAGAUUCUAUUCAAACAACUUAAAAUACCUCAAAAUUGUUCUAAAAUAACCUAUUUUUAGAAUAAAUUAUGAAAAAUUAUAGAAAAACUAUUUUCUGUCCAAAAUUCACCAAAUGGAUGCACUAUGGGAACGCAAGUACUUUGGAAGACCAUUUCAUGGGCCUCUCUCCCCGCUUGAUCCAGUUAUAUUGCAAAAUAUGGGCUAACUUCAACGGGACCAAAAUACUAACAGUUACGAUGUUCAAAAUGGCCCAAAAUUUUCAGGCCCAUUUCUUUCAGCCCACAAAGUUGCUGAGACAGAGGUAUCAUAUACUUGAUAUAGUUUCAGGCUUUCACCAUCAUCCUUAGCUCAGAUUAGCACGAAGCCACGAGCCCUUCCCUCGGCUGCUCACACGCACUCUCUCUGUCAAUAUACGUUUCCUUCUCUCUCGGUCUCAAGCAAUGUCUUAUGUGCCACCGCACCUGAGGAACCCUUCUUCUUCUAUCUCUCGAACCUCCAAACCUACCGAAACCUCCGCGGUAACCCUAGACGACACUCAUCGCACCACCAACAACCUUUCCUAUUCCUCCACAAACUCUCAUCUCUCUCAUUCCAACGCCUCUUCCUCUCCUUCUCUCUCUCGUUGGGCCUCCUCCAAUGCCGCCGCCGUGCCUCGGACUCCCUCCGUUCCGGAGCCCGUUUUCCCUCAGUGGAAGCCUUCCGACCGUGUUUUCCUUAUGAAACCUGAACAGGUUUGAUGUUUAUGGUUCUCUGAUUGAUUUUUUUUUUUGGCUAUGGUGGUUUGAGUGGGUUGUUGCUUGAAUUAAUUUCACUACUAUGCUAAUUUUGGCGUUCUUUUUGGAGUUGUUGUUGUGUUGUUUUGUGGCCCUGUUUGGUUGCUGAGAUAAUUAUGAAUGAGAAGGGGAAAAGUCAACGUUUCUUUUAUUGUUGUUUAGUUGGAAGAAAAAAGAGAGCUUAAGUUACAUCAGUCAAAAAAUAGUCUUAGAAAACUUAAGUGAGAUGAUUAUUCUGUUUUUGGAGGAGCCGAAGCAGUGGAUAGUGUAAGAUUCAAUUAUCCUUUGGAAAAUUAUAUGAUUCUGAUUCUGUAAUAUAUAAAGAAUGUGACUUAAGAAAAUGUCACUGAAUAUGACCAAGGUUCAAAAAAUGUGGCAUAAUUAAGGAAAAAUGUGACUUGGGCAGUGAGAGAGCUCAAAGAGGUAUGACACCACCAAAAAUUUGAUACUUUUUGUUCUCAUGGUCUGCUCGUUGUCCUCUCCUUCAGUUUUCUGCCUGAUUCUCAACAACCAACCGGAGUAUCAUUUUUUGUUAAUUUUAGUCAUUGCGUUAUAUUUGGACUUGAAGGCAAUAGUUAGUUUAUGGUUCAAUGUUUCAUUUGUGCUCUAAAACGUAUUUUCUGCCUGAGAUUCUUUUGGUUGAAUUAUAAUCAUUUUUGUAUUCUGAAAUUGGAGAAAUUGGAAUAUUGGCAUAUUCAUCAAAGCGAUCAUUUGAAAUAUUGAAUUUGAAUUAAUGUUUUUGUUAUCUUGGCAUGAUGCAUUUACAUACAGAUUGAAGAGGUCCGAUUGCGGCUUAAUGUUGAUGUUACUGUUGCUCCAGACUUGCCUCCUGCACCUGCACCAAUUGAAUCAUUCACAGACAUGGUAAAUUUGUGCAUUUAUGUGUCUUGGUGAUAUGAUCAAAGCUACUUUAAUGAGGCAGCAAUAAAAUCUCAAGUUAAGAAAAUAUGGUUUUUUAUUUUUUCAGGGUCUGCACCAAAGCAUCAUGAAGGAUAUUACCUUUCAUGAAUAUACUAGGCCCACCUUUAUUCAAGCUCAGGCCAUGCCAGUUGCUCUCAGCGGAAGGGAUCUCCUGGGAUGUGCUGAAACUGGUAGUGGAAAGACUGCUGCUUUUGCUAUUCCUAUGAUUCAGGUCUUUAUUUCAUGAUUUUAAUGGACUAUUAUGAACUUUAUAUUUUCUUUUGAGUUUUAGUGUUUGCUUGGAAAUUGAACAAUUGGAUAUAUAUCUGGCUAAUUGAUGGUUUUCUGCCUUACUUUUCUAUCUUCCAUUUCCAAUUUUGCAGCAUUGCUUGGCUCAACCUCCUGUUCGGCGAGGUGAUGGACCAUUGGCAUUGGUCUUGGCUCCCACAAGAGAGCUUGCCCAACAAAUAGAAAAGGAGGUGCCAACUAUUUUUUGUGAAUAGAAGAUGAAUGCUGUUGUUAGGAUUAUCUAAGUUUCAAACUGUUGGCAGUAAUAGUUCAUGUUUUUUCUUCUAAACCACAUUAUAACGAUGCUGCAAGUGUUUGUCAAAAUUGAAUUCACAUUUGGUUCUUAAUUAUGUUUGUUAGUUUUAAUCUAGAGCGGACUUCAUGUUGCCAACCCAAUUAGAUGAACAAAGACAUUUUGGCGUGUUGAAUUGUUAUAUGUUUAUUAUUCUCGCCAUUUUGUUCUUUGUUUUUGCUGAACGGAUACACAAAAGCACUCUCUCACAUUCUUCAUUAUAUUCUUUGAUCUCGAUUACUUUUUUAUUAGAUAUGAAAGUUAUAUUAAACUGGCAUGCAUUCGUUGGAUUUUGUUUACUUCUGAAUAUGAAUAUUUAUGCAUAAAUAGGACCCAAUAACAUUUUCUCCAAAUUCUUUAGAACCUUAAAGCAAACUAGGAUUAUUUCCUUUAUUAGUUUCUUUGGUCAAUUUGGAAAUGGAAUUAAUAUGUCUGAACCAUGAAAGCUGAUAAUUCUUGAGUAUGCCAGGCUUAUCUAAGAAGGGUUAGCUUGGUGAAUGAUGAGAUCAUUCUUUUAUUGCAUGUGGUCUAGCACAUCAUAUCAUUUUAAGUAUUGUUUUUCAAACUUGGUUUUUAUUUUAUUUUAUUUUAUUUGAAGGGUGAGCACAUUUUUCCUUCUCUUUUGGGUUUUAUUCUCUACAUUUGUGGGAAUGAAUAAGAACCAAUAUUAUCAUUUAUUUAGGAUUUAUGAGAUGAAUAAUUUAGCGAGAUUUUUUUCUCCUUGAAUUAUGAGUUGUAUCUUUUGAUUUACAUUUAAUAUCUGAUCUAUUUUGAGAUCAUCUUUCGUUCUCAAAUUACCAUGUUGAGCAAUCUGAUGUCUCCUGUCCAGGUUAAGGCUUUUAGUAGAUCACUUGAUUCCUUUAGAACUGCGAUAGUUGUGGGUGGAACAAACAUUUCCGAGCAGGUGACCAAUUUUGUCUUGAUAAUUUCAUUUCAUAAUGGUUUUUGAAAAUUGAAAUCGUUGUCCUAGUUUCUCCUUAUUCAUUUCUGAGCAGGACUGCAGGAGAACAAAAGGAAAAAUUUAUGUCCUGUCUCUUCUUAUUGCUGUUUACAUUUCAUUUCCUUGGUGCAGGAAAAAAUGGUUUCCAAUCCUAUCUUAUAUACGCAUAUAUGUUUUGUUGGUUUCUUUUGUUGCUUGACACCAAACAG
rnacentral:lncRNA from 1 species